rnacentral:rRNA from 1 species
UACAGAGGUCCCGAGCGUUGUUCGGAUUCACUGGGCGUAAAGGGUGCGUAGGUGGUGAGGUAAGUCGGAUGUGAAAUCUCCGGGCUCAACCCGGAAAUGGCAUUGGAAACUACCUUGCUGGAGGAUUUGAGGGGGGAUUGGAAUACUUGGUGUAGCAGUGAAAUGCGUAGAUAUCAAGUGGAACACCAGUGGCGAAGGCGAAUCCCUGGAAAUACCUGACACUGAGGCACGAAAGCUAGGGGAGCAAACAGGAGUUAGAAA